ACCUUGUGGUUGGGACAUUGCCUGAGCUUUCCAUUAAAUCUCUACCAUACCUCAUAUAGAGAUUCUUCAUUCAAUUGACAAAAAUUGGUGAAUUUAUCAUGCAAUU
rfam:Capsicum annuum cultivar Zunla-1 chromosome 6, whole genome shotgun sequence